rnacentral:rRNA from 1 species
GACGAACGCUGGCGGCGUGCUUAACACAUGCAAGUCGAACGGUAAGGCCCUUCGGGGUACACGAGUGGCGAACGGGUGAGUAACACGUGGGUGAUCUGCCCUGCACUUCGGGAUAAGCCUGGGAAACUGGGUCUAAUACCGGAUAGGACUCCGGACUGCAUGGUCUGGGGUGGAAAGCUUUUGCGGUGUGGGAUGGGCCCGCGGCCUAUCAGCUUGUUGGUGGGGUGAUGGCCUACCAAGGCGACGACGGGUAGCCGGCCUGUGAGGGUGACCGGCGACGAUGGGAUGGAGAUGCGGCCCAGGCUGCUACGGGAGGCAGCAGUGGUGAAUAUCGCACACUGGGCGGAAGCCUGAUGCAGCGACGCCGCGUGAGGGAUGACGGCCUUCGGGUUGGAAACCUCUUUCAGCAGCGACGAAGCGAAAGUGACGGUAGGUGCAGAAGAAGGACCGGCCAACUACGUGCCAGCCGCCGCCGUAA